rnacentral:lncRNA from 1 species
CCGCUGCUGAGGAGGUUGCCGGAGAAGCCCCCUAUGCCGUGGAUGCACAUGACACCGACACAGCCGCCCUGGGAGCACCUCCCGCGUAGUUUCCUCCCUUUUUCUUUUUUAUUUUCCUGCAAGUGGCGCGUGGCGCCUUAGAACUUUUUUAUGUUAGCUUUCCCUUAUCAUCACCAGUGUUAUUUGUCAACUUGUUUUGGUCAAGCUUCAAUAUAUCCAAUGUCACUU